AUCUGUAUAUUUAUAGGGGUUUUAACCCCCGCUAUCCAUAAACAAAAUAACGCUAAGUGUUGCCUUCUAUUUACAUCGCAAAAAUAUUUCCCCUCUUUUUUUAAUUGUCCCCAAAAUGACCCAUCUCUUUCUCAUUUUCCCCCAAAACCUAUAGAUACAGUAAUUGCUACUCUCCGGUAGGCCAUUGCUACUCCGGCGUCUCUGGUCGGCGGUAAUUGCUUCUUCGAUCAGCCAGGUGAUAAAUUUAGUGGAUCCAUUUCGCAUAUGGAUGCAAGGAGAUCACGUAAUGAUAGUAAUCCCAGUGACAGUCAUUGAUUUUGUUGCAAAUUAUCUUGGAUAUUCAAUUAUGAAGAUGUAAUUGUGUGGUUGGAGUGAAUAUUAGAAUAUUAAAGGUUUAUUUUGUGUUUAAUUUUUUUUUUUUUGAAAUUUGAAGAUGCUAGUUAAUGUUGAAAAUUUGGAGUUUGAGAUGCUAGUUAAUAUUGAAAAUUUGGAGUUUGAAGAUGCUAGUUAAUGUUGAAAAUUUAAUUUGAAAGUUUAAUGUUCAAUGUAAUUUUGAUAUGCAUGUGAAUUACAGUUUAAUUA